CCACCACAGAAGGUAAUAGUCCUGUAUGUUAAACGAGAAGACUUUAGAUAUGAUCCAGAGUACCACGGGACACGUGAAACCCUGUGGGAAGCAGGAGGGACCACCCUCCAAGGCUAAAUACUACCUAGUGACCGAUAGCGUAUAGUACCGUGAGGGAAAGGUGAAAAGAACCCCGGGAGGGGAGUGAAAUAGAACCUGAAACCGCAUGCAUACAAACAGUAGGAGCCUCACCAGAGGUGACUGCGUACCUUUUGCAUAAUGGGUCAGCGACUUACAUUCUGUGGCGAGCUUAACCGAAUAGGGGAGGCGCAGCGAAAGCGAGUUCGAAAUGAGCGUCCAGUCGCAGGGUGUAGACCCGAAACCAGAUGAGCUAUCCAUGGCCAGGUUGAAGGUGUGGUAACACACACUGGAGGACCGAACCGACUAGUGUUGCAAAAUUAGCGGAUGAGCUGUGGAUAGGGGUGAAAGGCCAAACAAAUCUGGAGAUAGCUGGUUCUCCCCGAAAACUAUUGAGGUAGUGCCUCGUGUGUCGCUCCAGGGGGUAGAGCACUGUUUUGGCUAGGGGGACAUGGAGUCUUACCAAACCAAGGCAAACUCCGAAUACCUGGAAGCGUAAGCACGGGAGACAGAGCACCGGGUGCUAACGUCCGGACUCAAAAGGGAAACAACCCAGACCGCCGGCUAAGGUCCCCAAUAACAGCUAAGUGGAAAACGAAGUGGAAAGGCCGUGACAACCAGGAAGUUGGCUUAGAAGCAGCCAUCCUUCAAAGAAAGCGUAAUAGCUCACUGGUCGAGUCCUUCUGCGCGGAAGAUGUAACGGGGCUAAGCUGUUAACCGAAGCCGCGGAUGCACUGGUUAUCCAGUGCGUGGUAGGGGAGCGUUCUGUAAGUCUGCGAAGGCGGUUCGAGAGGACUGCUGGAGAUAUCAGAAGUGCGAAUGCUGACAUGAGUAACGUUAAAGCAGGUGAAAAGCCUGCUCGCCGUAAGCCCAAGGAUUCCUGCUCUACGUUCAUCGGAGCAGGGUGAGUCGGCUCCUAAGGUCAGGCCGAAAGGCGUAGCCGAUGGGAAUCAGGUUAAUAUUCCUGAACCUGCGUCAGAUGCGAUGGGGGGACGGAGCAUGAAAGAUCAUCCGGGUGUUGGAUGUCCCGGUUGACGAGCGUAGGAGGUCUGCAGGCAAAUCCGCAGACGCAUCUCCAAGGCGAAGUCACGUGCCGCCACGGCGGCGAAGUGAUCGGAAGUGCUUCCAAGAAAAGCCUCUAAGCACCAGUCUGACGCGGACCGUACCGCAAACCGACACUGGUGGGCGAGCUGAAUAUGCUCAGGCGCUUGAGAGAACUCGGGAGAAGGAACUCGGCAAAUUGACACCGUAACUUCGGAAGAAGGUGUGCCGUAGUACCGUGAGAGGAGAGACACCUUGAGCGGGAAUCGGUCUCAGAGAAUAGGUGGCUGCGACUGUUUAUUAAAAACACAGCACUCUGCAAAGUCGAAAGACGACGUAUAGGGUGUGAUGCCUGCCCGGUGCUGGAAGAUUAAUUGAUGGGGUGAGAGCCCUUGAUCGAAGUCCCAGUAAACGGCGGCCGUAACUAUAACGGUCCUAAGGUAGCGAAAUUCCUUGUC
rnacentral:rRNA from 1 species